GCCUGCGUGGUGGAAUGGUAGACACAGGAGACUUAAAAUCUCUAGGCCCGAAGGGGCCGUGCCGGUUCGAGUCCGGCCGCAGGUACCA
rnacentral:tRNA from 1 species